CGGGGACCUUGCUCGCUGUGGACUCGCUAGUCUUCGUGCUUGUCCUGUCUUUGGGCCUUCUCGCAUACCUCAGCAGCGACUGCCAUACGCCUCCCAGCUUUCUCUCUCCGCCCCUCUGCCUUUUCUGUGCAUCAUCUCAGCGGCGGUUUUUGUCAAAGGAGGAUCACCAAAGAAGCACGCGCGCAGACAUGAGGCUGCCGAAAGCUUUAGCAGUGGCUGCGCUGUGCUUCGCACUAUGUGUGUGCACCGCAUCCGUCGGCGGCCAUCAGGUCGCGCUCAUCUCGGACAUCCACUACGACCCACUUUACGGCACCAGCAGGGCGCUAAAGUGCACGAGCGACUCUAGCCCUAUGUAUGGUAUGCAAGGCUGCGACUCGUCAUUGCAGCUGAUGGCGCGUACCCUGGCCGACGUGUCGGCGCAGAACCCGAGCUUGGUGCUUUACACUGGCGACUGGCAGCGGCACAAGUUUGCCAAUAGCAGUCUGGCUCCUGCCGCUAUCUUCAAGGACAUGUCGGAGCGCUUUCACAAUGUCACAGUGGACGGCUCACUCGGCGCGGUUGCCUUCAGUGGGGCAAUGGGCAACAAUGAUGUCGUGCCCGACUACUAUUAUUCGUUGGAGGACACGGUUUCGGAGGAGGAACUGGCGCACCGCGUGGCGGCGAUGCGCGGCGCCGCGCUUUUGAGCGAUGCAGAGGCUUCCGUGAUGAGAAACUGCGGCUAUUACACACAUAUGAUGGAUAGCGUACAUGUGAUUGUGCUGCACACGUUAUUGUGGGCCCACGAGCUUCAGCCGCCGCUGCCCUCCAACCUCAGCGACCCGUGCAACCAGUUCUCUUUUCUGCGGAGUGAGCUGGCGAAGGUGCGGGCGGCUAACAAGCGAGCGAUCAUCAUGGGCCACAUCCCCCCUGGCCUGAACACGUACAAUGUGCUUAAACGCGGCUUUGGCUCUGCAGCCGGUGACAUGUUCUGGAAGGAGCAGUAUGAGGCGACCUACAAUAGCAUCAUCCGCGAGUACAAGGAUCUCUUAGUGGUGCAGUUGUUUGGGCAUACACACAUGUUCAAGCUGCUCACGAUGCCACGGAAUGACGUACUGGGUAUCGUCGUUCCAUCCAUCUCACCCAUCUUCGGCAACCACCCGUCCUACCUGAUGGCCAACUUCAGCGAAACCUGGGAGCUGGAGGAUGCGCAAAGUCGCUACACCAUUGGCGAAGGCGUAUUCCACUCUGGACUCUCCGCCAAAGAGGUGUUCAGCCUCAAUGCUGGGCUGCACUCCGUCUCUGAUGUGCGAGCGGCCAUCACUCUGCUGGCGACAAACGAUACGAUGUGGGAUCGUUUCCUCACUGUAUUCUGCGGUGGCGAGAAACGCUCUCAAGUGUUCCCACACAGGAAGUGCGACAAACAAUGCCGCUACAUUAUUGUCUGCUCGAUGCUGGAGAAUAAUCACACGUAUAUUCAGCGCUGUGUGGCCAAUUACAGCCUUCUGCCAGGGCCUUCGCAGGACACUAGAACCACGGUCUUCAUGACGGCCGGCAUAGUCCUUUUUUCGCUGUUCGUGAUGGGGGCAAGCGUGGCGAUGCUGCUCAUGAUCCGCAGUGGACAGACAACGCUGUCGUGGUCGAAUAUGAAGAGCGCCAUCUGGUGGAAGUCCCUUGUCUCGAAGCAGGGGAGCCAAACCACCCCCGUGUUAGAGAACGAGCUGGGAGACCGUCGCACGGUUGUUUAGUGAAGACACUACCCUCGGUCUGUUUGCGCUAGGCUUGUUAGUCCUUAGUUUGCUGUCCUCUCCUCUUCGCUGCGCAAACGCCCUGCUCCACGCACGUGUCCGAGGGAGGAUCAUGACACCCUGCCUUCUCCGCGUGGACACUCAACCAAGAUGUGGGGCUAGCCGACGGGCUGCAGAGGCCAUCAAAGCGCUCACGACUCGGCCUGCCGAGCUCAGGGGGGUCUGUCGCACGAAUGCGGUCCGUCAAAGGAUCGCCUCCGCUACUCCUACAUGGCACGGUUUGAAUCAACGGUGCUCCACGGUGCCGCCGCGUGGUUGGAUGGCGCUGGUCGGAAACUGCACGAAGCCCUUGCGCACCUUCACGCCCAAACAGUAGCAGUCAUCGUGGGUACCCUAUAAUACCCAGGCAACAGAGGCCUACUCGAAGAGGCCGAGCUCCUGCCUCUCGACUCCACAGCGCUGCUGCGCCGCGCACGCCUGCAUCCCUCCGCAGCCACUCCAGGAGGCCGCCUUGCGCACUUGGCGUGGGGAUGGGUGCACGCGCCGCAUGGCGGUGUCGUCACAACGCCUCCGCAGCUCUCACGCCGGUGUGCAGGCAUCGACACCCCUGCGGAGCUCCGCACGCCCGUUGCGCAGCUCUCCCCUACCCGCUGGUGCACAGAUGGUGCAGCACAGAUACAAAGCAGAUCACGUGCCGCCGUGAUGCUCUAUCGCGAUCAUGCACGCACAGAUGCGCACGGGCAAGGGGCGGCGGCGCCCUUGCGUGCCGCGACAGCACCCAGCCUGCAGCAGUGGUGUCCACGCCUCACCUGCGGCGACAAAGAGAAGCACGUGUGGCCGCCCUUGCUGAGGGGUCGCUCUCCCACCCUCAUGGCACCUGGCACGGGUCCCGCAACCAUGGAGGACGGCUUGGUGCGACGGACGUGGCCACGUGCGCUGGCGCGACGGUGGCCCGUCGCGUGCGCCUCGCCUUUCAGCGUGCCAGUGGCCACUCUGACUUGGCGCACACCGACGGGGCGGUCGAGACCGCAUAAACAGCCAUGCCAGAGAGGCGCCGACGCCAGCUGCACGGAUGGCGGACCCGGUCACCCGUCUCCGACGCCACGCCGACAUCCCCCGAAACCGCGCCACACAAUGCGGCGCGCUGACACAAGAGGUUCUUCGCGGCAGCCGUCCCACACCACAACAGCACGGCUGCUGAGCUUACAAGACGACAGGGGAGACCCUGCUCACCCAGUCCCGCACAGGCAACACCUGCCCGCUGCUGCGCUCGCGCUGCGUGGCACCCCUCCCCGCCCGGCCAGAGCCUCUGCACCCGCCCUCGAGCUGCACCCUCCACGCGGCCUACCUUUAUCAAGGCAUGCAGUGCACACAGGUCUUCGUCGCGCCGAUCCCGCAUCAUCUCUGCGGAAAAGGGCCGAGGAAGUAUACGAAGAGGACGCUGAACGCAUGUGCCCGAUUCGAACCGGCAGAGACCUUUCGUUCAAGAGGAUGCUGAUGUGGCCGGAUUGCUACAGGGGUAGGCGAGCGAUGGUGGCAUGUGCAUGCGGAUUGGCGUGUUCGUGGUCAAGUGAGAUUUUGAACAAAUAAGCGAAAAGAAAAUUAUGCCUUCAUCUCUGUCGCCUGUGGCCGUCUCUCUCUCUCUCUCUCAUUGUGUGUGUUUGUGUGGCAACGGCUCUGAGGCAUGACGACAUGAACAGCCGCCCUCACCCGUGGCGGGGCCGCGCACACAUGCUUUCUUGCCUUUGCUUGUCGCUUGUUUGCUUCCCUCCUUUUUUUAUGUGCGCUGUCGGUUAGGAAUGCAGAGCCACUCACCAUGUACACAUCGGUGUGCCAGCGCCCACUGCACGGGUGUAUUUAUGCGCCGUUUCUCCCUUUACCCGUGUCGACUGCAAAGACAUUUCGUCACUUGUUUUUCUCUGCGCCCAUCGUUGAGGGUUUGCAUUCAAGAUGCCAAGAAUUUUUUGUUUCGCGGUAUUUAGCGGGUGCCACCACCUUGCUUGCGAGUUCUCCGUGACACUGCUGCGUGUGUGCGGCGGCGCAGAUUUGGACUCUAUGCUUAUCCCCCCUUUUGGCCUGCGCCUACGUUCUCGAGAGACACCCGUAGACAUGAACUUGCACAUGAUCACAG
rnacentral:misc_RNA from 1 species